GAAGUCCAUCUCCACCUGUGGCUCUUAAGGAGCGUGAGAAGCUUAAUCUCAUGGCCUUCCCUCCUAAGCUGGUGGUGGAGCAGUUUACCAUGAUGGAUGCGGAGCUCUUCCAGAAGGUGGUGUCCUCUCCGUGUCUGGGCUCCACCUGGGGCAAGAGGAACAAACCCGGCAAUGAGCACCAGACACUCAACGUCCAGGCCACCGUCGACCACGAGUUCGAGAUCCUGAAGAACUUCUUCUCGUCCUGCACUGUCAACUCUGCUCUGCAGAAAACCUUCACAAGCCACCUGAAGAACACACGGGGGAAGUUUCCCGCCAGGACCCUGCUGCUCCUUCUAUCUUCACCACAUCUCCAAGGGGCUGCAUCCUGCCUGCCCCAGGGAUGUGCGUGGCAGAGGAUUCCCAUGGCCCAGGUGGAAAAACAGGCUGCUCAUCCUCAGGAGGGGCCCUCCACGUUUGCUCCCCCAGAGAGCAACCCCCAGAGAGUGCAGGAGAAGCAGCAGCAGCGGCAGGGGAAUGGGAUCAACCUUGAGAAGAGUACUGAGGAGCAGCUGUGGCACUCCCUGCAGGGGAGAGGAAGGAGGUGGAAAUCAGAGACCUUCUGGGCAGAACAGUCCUUGGCUUCACCCGCUGUAUCUUACAUUGAGUGGAAGAGUUUGAUACCAGAGAAGUGGGAGACCCAUCCAAUUGGCGGCUACACCUUGUCCUGCCAGCCAGAGCGCUAGACCUAGUUGGCCUGCAGAGUACGCAAGGCCAAGAAGAACCGGCCAUCAUCAAGGUCAGGGGGAGACUGAGAUCUCAAAAUUAUCAAGAAGCUGAAGCUCCCCAACUCCCGCUUCCUGGCGCCGAAUCCACCAUUCAUCACAGGGACAGACAAACAGAGGACACCUGCAGCUCCCCUAACUCAGCUAAACGCAGGCUGAUGGGAGGACGCCGAACUGCAAAGCCGCAGCUCCCCUCCCCCACCUAAAACCUUGUAAACUGUAAUCGUUAAUUGGCAGCAGUUGCCGUCCACACCCCAAGGCCAAAUUUCUGGUGAUGAGAGAAGAUUGGUUGAUGGAGCCCUAGAUCUCCCGCUGUAGAUAGAGAUGACAGCCGGCUUGGCUCCAGAAGACUGGGAUCACUCCUCCAACAAAUAAUCAGUCACCAAGGAUAUAUUAUUUCCCACAGACUUUCCUUUAAAAGCCUCAACUCCUAAUGCCUCAGGAGGACUGUGGAUUUUGGGGCAUGUGCCCACUACAGCCUCAUUUUGCUGGCAAAAUUAAACCACUUUUCUUUUCCUCGG